rnacentral:tRNA from 1 species
GGCCUGUUCGUCUAUCGGUUAGGACAUGAGAUUCUCAUUCUUAAAAGAGGGGUUCGAUUCCCCUACAGGCUA